UUACGACCAUAUCUCGUUGAAACACCGGUUCCCGUACGAUCGCCGAAGUUAAGCAACGUCGAGCCGGGUAACCGCUUGGGAAAACUAGGUGAUGUAAG